rnacentral:misc_RNA from 1 species
GAUGAAGAACGCAGCGAAAUGCGAUACUUGGUGUGAAUUGCAGAAUCCCGUGAACCAUCGAGUCUUUGAACGCAAGUUGCGCCCGAAGCCAUUAGGCCGAGGCACGCCUGCCUGGGUGUCACACGUCGUUGCCCCCCCAUCUACUCCUUCGGGAUUGCGGGGGGCGGAUGAUGGCCUCCCGUGCGCCUCGUCGCGCGGUUGGCAUAAAUGCCAAGUCCUCGGCGACGCACGCCACGACAAUCGGUGGUUGCGAAACCUCGGUUGCCCGUCGUGUGCGGUCGUCGCGCAUCGAGGGCUCGAAAAAAUUGCCGGGCUCCGGCUCGGCUUUCAACGCGACCCCAGGUCAGGCGGGGUUACCCGCUGAAUUUAAGCAUAUCAAUAAGCGGAGGA